GAGAAAACUUGCAAGGACCGCUAAUCCACACCUCCGUACUUAAAACUACGGUUUUCUCA
rnacentral:tRNA from 1 species